UUAGUACUCCUUCCGUCCGGAAAUACUUGUCGGAGGAAUGGAUGUAUCUAGACGUAUUUUAAUUCUAGAUACAUCCAUUUUUAUGCAUUUCUUCGACAAGUAUUUUCGGACGAAGGGAGUAGUUG
rnacentral:pre_miRNA from 1 species